CUACGUGCAGCAGCGCGGUAUACGUAGGGCGCAAGCGUUAUCCGGGAUUUAUUGGGCGUAAAGAGCUCGUAGGCGGUUUGUCGCGUCUGCCGUGAAAGUCCGAGGCUCAACCUCGGAUCUGCGGUGGGUACGGGCAGACUAGAGUGAUGUAGGGGAGACUGGAAUUCCUGGUGUAGCGGUGAAAUGCGCAGAUAUCAGGAGGAACACCGAUGGCGAAGGCAGGUCUCUGGGCAUUUACUGACGCUGAGGAGCGAAAGCAUGGGGAGCGAACAGGAUUAGAUACCCUGGUAGUCCAUGCCGUAAACGUUGGGCACUAGGUGUGGGGGACAUUCCACGUUUUCCGCGCCGUAGCUAACGCAUUAAGUGCCCCGCCUGGGGAGUACGGCCGCAAGGCUAAAACUCAAAGGAAUUGACGGGGGCCCGCACAAGCGGCGGAGCAUGCGGAUUAAUUUGAUGCAACGCGAAGAACCUUACCAAGGCUUGACAUGUGCCAGACCGCUCCAGAGAUGGGGUUUCCCUUCGGGGCUGGUUCACAGGUGGUGCAUGGUUGUCGUCAGCUCGUGUCGUGAGAUGUUGGGUUAAGUCCCGCAACGAGCGCAACCCUCGUUCCAUGUUGCCAGCACGUAGUGGUGGGGACUCAUGGGAGACUGCCGGGGUCAACUCGGAGGAAGGUGGGGAUGACGUCAAAUCAUCAUGCCCCUUAUGUCUUGGGCUUCACGCAUGCUACAAUGGCCGGUACAAUGGGUUGCGAUACUGUGAGGUGGAGCUAAUCCCUAAAAGCCGGUCUCAGUUCGGAUUGGGGUCUGCAACUCGACCCCAUGAAGUCGGAGUCGCUAGUAAUCGCAGAUCAGCAACGCUGCGGUGAAUACGUUCCCGGGCCUUGUACACACCGCCCGUCAAGUCACGAAAGUUGGUAACACCCGAAGCCGAUGGCCUAACCACC
rnacentral:rRNA from 1 species